rnacentral:lncRNA from 1 species
GUAUUGUGUAACAUUUAAGUAGCUACACAAAAUAAAUUCUUGGCAGGUGUCUUGCAUGCAUGGGUUCUUUUUCAAGAGUCCCGUUCGUAGUUGCCUUUUUUGAUCUUCAAGCUAUUAAUUCUUAUGUAACUGUAUUGAUAAUACAUUGUAUGUAUUAUUGAUCCAAAUAAAUUUGUGAAAUUGAAAAUAAAAAUUAAAUUGAAUUAAAUAUUCAUUCGUUCAAGCGGGUGCUACGGAACAUACAAACGAUUCUCGUCUUAAAUGUCAAGGCAAUGCAUAGAUAGCGCUUGUUUCAUGAAUUCCAAGCACAAAUCUAUCGCCAACACUGAUAUGAAGGAAUCUCUCAUCUCCAAAUUUCGACCAUUUAUAUCCCACCGGGUCCCCUGCACUAAUACCCUCACGUGUAUACAUUUGCCCCUCGUUAUCCACAGCGUAGACCUGCCCGUGAACCCCUGUAUCCAACUGCUUAAAUGACCCCCCAGUGUUGACCCACGUCAGACCUCCAGGAUUGCUCGAGUUGACACCAGUCCUA